CUCAGAGCCCAAUAAGCUCUCUUGGAAGAGGCCGUUCCCGAGGAGCCAACAGAGGCAGGGCUUUGUGCAUGGCCGGGCAGCCGGCUUCCUCCAGCCCAGCCAGCGGCUGCGCGGCUCCGGGCUCGGCUUGGAGGCAAAGCCGCUACGGAGCGGAGAGCGGCGCCUUCCUUAGGGUUCAGAAGGAGCAGAUCAGUCAGCUGCAGAAUCUUGGACAGAAGAGGCAGUGCCGCCCCAGGCAGGAAGCGCAUUGCUCGCCCCGCUCCCCUUAUCCUUUCAGAGAGGGGCAUAUGGAGACUGGCAAGUGUUGAAGAGCCCUGGCUGGAGCAAGGUGAAGGGCUGCAACAGGAUCCAUUGCAAAGAAGGCCCAGAAAUGGAAGACUGUCCUUUCUUACUCAAGAAAGUACCUCUUCGAGUCAGCAAGUGGUUUGAUUGAAUGAGGGCAAUGAAACUAGUCCGUGGUGAAAAUUUUUUAAGAAGAAAGCUCCACAGAUGCGCAUUUGAAGUCCUCAUGUAAAUCCUACUGAAGUGAGGGGCUGAGGCAUGUCCACUGAAUUUGGUGGAGUCCUUUUGAAGAAUGGGGGUAAGUGAUUCUUUGUGGACUGGAAUAGAGAAACAUGCUGCUGACAAUAUGGCCAUCUUUUCCAUAUGAGGCUCUUUUGCAAGCCCUGAUGAAAUUUGAACCAUAAAGGAAACUACACAAUAGUUUGUGUGGUAAAGACAAAGUCCAGAAUGAAAAUUCUGACUCUUGUGUUUCCCCUUCCUCAGUGAAGCGUCAUGUGGGCUCUGUCUGAGCUUAGGAAAUGUACAUGAAAGUGAUCCCCCAUUAGUGCUAAACCGCAUUGUGGAGCUGGAGGGUGCAAUAGGAUUAGAGCCUCUACCAAAAUUCCUUCGGGUGAAAUAA